rnacentral:rRNA from 1 species
GACGAACGCUGGCGGCGUGCUUAACACAUGCAAGUCGAACGAAGUGGCGAACGGGUGAGUAACGCGUAAUCAACCUGCCCUUCAGCGGGGGACAACAGUUGGAAACGACUGCUAAUACCGCCUCCUUAAGGAGGGGCUUGCGUCUGAUUAGCUGGUUGGAGGGGAAAAGGCCCACCCAGGCGAUGAUCAGUAGCCGGUCUGGGAGGAUGAACGGCCAAAGUUGGACUGAGACACGGCCCAGAAUCCGACGGGAGGACGCAGUGGGGAAGCUUCCGCAAUGGAAGAAAGUCUGACGGAGCAACGCCGCGUGAGUGAUGACGGCCUUCGGGUUGUAAAGCUCUGUUAAUCGGGACGCGGUACCGGAAUAGAAAGCCACGGCUAACUACGUGCCAGCAGCCGCGGUAAUUC